rnacentral:rRNA from 1 species
AAAUCAAGCGUUUAAGGGCGUGUGGCGGAUGCCUUGGCACUGAAAGCCGAAGAAGGACGUGAUAUACUGCGAUAAGUUUCGGGGAGCUGUAUGUAAGUUUUGAUCCGAAAAUUUCCGAAUGGGGAAACCCACCACUUUAUGUGGUACUUUAAACCGAAUUCAUAAGUUUAAAGAGACAACCUGGAGAACUGAAACAUCUAAGUAACCAGAGGAAAAGAAAUCAAUUGAGAUUCCGUUAGUAGUGGCGAGCGAAAGCGGAAUAGGCCAGUAGUUUUAUUGAAAAAAUUUGAAUAGUUUGGAAAUGCUAACCACAGAGGGUGAUAGUCCCGUAUAAGUAAUGUUUAAUAAAAUUCUUGAGUAAAGCGGGACACGUGAAAUCCUGCUCGAAUAUAGGGGGACCACCCUCUAAGCCUAAAUACUCUUCAGUGACCGAUAGUGAACUAGUACCGUGAGGGAAAGGUGAAAAGAACCCCUAUUAGGGGAGUGAAAUAGAACCUGAAACCGCAUGCCUACAAUCAGUCGAAGCUCUUUUUAGAGUGACGGCGUACCUUUUGUAUAAUGGGUCAGUGACUUAAUUUAUUAAGCAAGCUUAAGCCAUCUAGGUGUAGGCGCAGCGAAAGC